rnacentral:tRNA from 1 species
GGAGGAAUAGACCUAACUGGUAAGGCAGCGGUCUUGAAAACCGCCGGGCUUCGGCCCUUGGGGGUUCGAGUCCCCCUUCCUCCG